ACACACAUGCAGCUUGGGGAGGAGGUAGCAGAUGACACUCACAGCUCGGCUGAGAUCUGCUAAGAGGAGGAGGGAAGGGAAGACUCUCCAAGAAUAGAGGACAAGCCUGUGCAAAGGAACAGACCAGGGAGACCUGGACAUCAUGGGGAAGAAAUGAGUGGAACAUCAAGGAGGAUGCACAAUAUAUCCAAGUCAGAGGACUCGGAUUUGAAUCCUGCCUGUGGCUUGAUUGGUGUGGCUCUGGAUAAGUCAUUUAACUCGUUCCAGCAUGGAGUAAGGUGGUUGACUAAAAUGGCCUUAGAAGGUCCCUUCCAGCUCGAGUUAUAGGAUCCCAUGAGGAAGCAGAGAUUUCUUCCAAAAUUCUUGGACCUUCCACGGAUCCUGCUCAGCCCUCUCCCUGGUAUGGAAGGGAGCCACCUCAGUAGACCUGGGAUUCCAGGCUGUUCAGAGAUAAUUCAUGAGCCAAUCAUGGGGAGUGGAAAUGAUGGGGCUUUCCAAGUUGCGGAAGGUUGUCUGUGCAGCCCCUUAAUGCUCCCUAACUCUCCAUCAUUACUCUUUACAUGACUCUCCAGGGAUCUACACAACAAACACCGCCUGGCUUAGGGACUGGACUGCACAUCCCACCCUGGACACCGCCUGGCUACGUGGCUCUGGGCAAGUCACUCAUCUCAGGUCUGUUGCCUAUAAAACAGGGAUCGUCCCUGGAGCAUCCACUUCAUAGGCUGGGGCAGGAAUCCAAUGACAUAAUGUUGGGAAGUGUUUUAUAAACCUUAAAAUAUUAUGUAAAUGUCAAGUAGUUUUUUUUGUUCAAAACUUGUUACUUCACUGGAAUAAUCCAUCGUUAACUAAUCACCAACGAUGUUCCACAGGCCUUGUGCUUGAGCUCAGAAAUAACAAAGACAUACAUGAAAUAGU